rnacentral:lncRNA from 1 species
AUUGUCUAUCCAAUUACAAGUUCUUUAUUCUACUUUUAACAAGCAUUAUAAUUUACUUUAGUAGAUUUACUGUGUACACAAAAAAGAGAAGAGAGACAGAAAAACAUUGGAGAGGCAGUGUGUCCUAGAGGUUGUGUCAUUGUUCGUUUCUUUGGUGAGCGGGUGAAAACCAAAAAGUCGUUUUUGGUGACAGAGUGAAAACUAACAUUGUUAGCGUUGGUGGUGAUCGUUGAAAAUCACAAAAGAUGUACUCCAUUCAAUUUAGAAAGAGCUCUAAAAGACAACACUCUUAUAAUCCAAGAGGACUGGAUUAGGAUAUCACACUAGUUUCGAACCAAUACAAAAUUCCGGGUAUCAUCUACUUUAUCGCUCUCAUAUUGUAUUCUGUUCCCUUACUAUUUAUUAUGAUUAACAGUUAUUUAAAUUGAAAGGACAAAAAGUUUUGUGCAGGCCGUCUCCGCAUAUGUCAACUACGUCUGAAGAGUAGUCGACUGGAUAUUUAUAAAAGGAUACAAUUCACCCCCCACCCCUUGUACUUUCAAUAUUUUCCUAAGACACCAAUGCUUUCCUAGAUAUUUUUGCUUUACCUGUUCAUAAGAAUGUUCUUCAUGUGGAUUCAAUCAUUUUCAACACCUUCUUUGGCAGUAGGAAUAUUUGUGUCAGUAUGAUUGUACACCAAAGAUCAGUGAUUUUAUGAGCUAUAAUCUUUCUGAGUAUGAUAAAAGCUUUGAUGUCCAACAACUUAUCCUUGAAGCGAUAUUUUAUACCAAUGGCUAGCAUUUGUUAAUUGACAGUUUCCUUGAUGCUAGUGGCACUCCCAGGUAUUUGAAUCACAAUGUGCCCUCAUUAUAUCCUAACUCAUGCAAUAUAUCCUCCUUCAGAUUUGCAGAAAUGCCAGCAAGGUAAAUGGAGUUGUUGUCUGCAUUUGGUUGUAAACCUGAGGCCUUUGAGAAUUUCAUAAAAGCCAACUGAAGAAACCUAAUAGAAGGAAGGUCUGCCCUACAAAACAAUAACAGAUUGUCAGCAAAACACACAUGGAUCACUCCCAAUUUUUUAAUUUAGGGUGGAAGUGAAACUCCUUGUUCAAUGCCAACUGGUCAAAUUCUCUCUGCAAAUAUUCCAUGGCAAGCACAAACAGGUAAAGUGACAUAGGGUCACAUUGCCUUAUUCCUCUUUGGCCUUUGAUGGGUUUAAUAAGGCCCCCAUUCAGUGUUAAAGAAUAAGUGACAGUUGUUAUACCUUCCAUUAUCCAAUAAACUUAUGUGGUAAUUCCAGUUCAAUCGGUAUCCUUUUUAGACAAUACCAAUUCAUUGUGUCAUAGUCCUUCUUAAGGUCAAUCUUAAGAACACACCUUGCUGAAAUUCCUUUCCUGUUAUAGCCUUUGAAUAGUUCACUAGUGAAUAAUAUAUUAUCAGCGAUGUUUUUACUUUUUAUGAAAGAUGAUACAAGUGUAUUUUAAGAACAUUCCUAAAAUGUGCCUACGCC